UACAGAGGGGGCAAGCGUUGUUCGGAAUUACUGGGCGUAAAGGGCGCGUAGGCGGCCUUCUAAGUCGAACGUGAAAUCCCCGGGCUCAACCCGGGAACUGCGUCCGAUACUGGAAGGCUUGAAUCCGGGAGAGGGAUGCGGAAUUCCAGGUGUAGCGGUGAAAUGACGUAGAUAUCUGGAGGAACACCGGUGGCGAAGGCGAAUCUCUGGACAGAUACCUGACGCUGAGGCACGAAGGCUAGGGGAGCAAACGGG
rnacentral:rRNA from 1 species